rnacentral:rRNA from 1 species
UACGAAGGGGGCUAGCGUUGUUCGGAAUUACUGGGCGUAAAGCGUGCGCAGGCGGCUUUCCAAGUCAGUGGUGAAAGCCCGGAGCUCAACUCCGGAAAUGCCAUUGAAACUGUGAAGCUCGAGAACGAGAGAGGUGAGUGGAAUUCCCAGUGUAGAGGUGAAAUUCGUAGAUAUUGGGAAGAACACCAGUGGCGAAGGCGGCUCACUGGCUCGUAACUGACGCUCAUGCACGACAGCGUGGGGAUCAAACAGG